rnacentral:lncRNA from 8 species
GUCGACAGGGGUGCAGCGGAUUGGCGACCGGCGGAAGGGAGGCUGACAGAAAGAGUGAAGAAAAGAAAAGAGAGCAGAAGGAAAGGAAAAGAGAGGGAGGCCAGGCUGAGGCCUGUGGCUGUACUGUGAAAAAACAAGACGGAGAGACGUACUCCAGCAAGACAGACUGAACCCCAGACAACUCCUUCUGUUGAACCAGACCCUCAGACAGCCUGGAGAGGACAGGAGAGGAGAACAUAUUGGGGGACAGCUGAAGUUACUGGUCCUGAUGUUCCAUUCUGACCCCCUGUGGUGAGGUCUACUGAAGCAGCACUGGAGGGAGUGUUGGGGGGGGUGGAAAAGUAAGGAGAGGUGAAGGUGAAGGAGGAGUAGGAG